rnacentral:rRNA from 1 species
CGCCGCCGCGCCUUCCGCGGCCCGUCCCGCCGCGCCCCGCCCGAGAUUGAUCAUGGCUCAGGAUGAACGCUGGCGGCGUGCUUAACACAUGCAAGUCGAACGAUGACCCGGUGCUUGCAUCGGUGAUUAGUGGCGAACGGGUGAGUAACACGUGAGUAACCUGCCCUUAACUCUGGGAUAAGCCUGGGAAACUGGGUUCUAAUACCGGAUAUGACUCCUCAUCGCAUGGUGGGGGGUGGAAAGCUUUUUUGUGGUUUUUGGAUGGACUCGCGGCCUAUCAGCUUGUUGGUGAGGUAAUGGCUUACCAAGGCGACGACGGGUAGCCGGCCUGAGAGGGUGACCGGCCACACUGGGACUGAGACACGGCCCAGACUCCUACGGGAGGCAGCAGUGGGGAAUAUUGCACAAUGGGCGGAAGCCUGAUGCAGCGACGCCGCGUGAGGGAUGACGGCCUUCGGGUUGUAAACCUCUUUCAGUAGGGAAGAAGCGUAAGUGACGGUACCUGCAGAAGAAGCGCCGGCUAACUACGUGCCAGCAGCCGCGGUAAUACGUAGGGCGCAAGCGUUAUCCGGAAUUAUUGGGCGUAAAGAGCUCGUAGGCGGUUUGUCGCGUCUGCCGUGAAAGUCCGGGGGCUCAACUCCGGAUCUGCGGUGGGUUACGGGCAGACUAGAGUGAUGUAGGGGAAGACUGGAAUUCCUGGUGUAGCGGUGAAAUGCGCAGAUAUCAGGAGGAACACCGAUGGCGAAGGCAGGUCUCUGGGCAUUAACUGACGCUGAGGAGCGAAAGCAUGGGGAGCGAACAGGAUUAGAUACCCUUGGUAGUCCAUGCCGUAAACGUUGGGCACUAGGUGUGGGGGACAUUCCACGUUUUCCGCGCCGUAGCUAACGCAUUAAUGCCCCGCCUGGGGAGUACGGCCGCAAGGCUAAAACUCAAAGGAAUGACG